rnacentral:rRNA from 1 species
GACGAACGCUGGCGGCGUGCUUAACACAUGCAAGUCGAACGGAGUGGCGAACGGGUGAGUAACACGUGGGUUACCUGCCCUGCACUCCGGGAUAAGCCUGGGAAACUGGGUCUAAUACCGGCGAGUGUGGGAUGGGCCCGCGGCCUAUGAGAUUGUGGGUGGGGUAAUGGCCUACCAAGGCGGGGACGGGUAGCCGGCCUGAGAGGGUGGACGGCCAAAUUGGGACAGAGCCAGGGCCCAGACGCCUACGGGAGGCAGCGGUGGGGAAUAGUGCACAAUGGGCGGAAGCCUGAUGCAGCGACGCCGCGUGGGGGAUGACGGCCUUCGGGGUGGAAAAUCCUUUCACCAUCGACGGGGUAGAUGGCGAAGAAGCACCGGCUAACUACGUGCCAGCAGCGGCGUAAUUC